AAGACAUUGUGUCUUCGAGUCGUUGAUUUCACACUGCCGAGAAAAGCCUCUAGAUAGAAAAUAGGUGCCCGUACCGCAAACCGACACAGGUAGUCAAGAUGAGAAUUCUAAGGUGAGCGAGCGAACUCUCGUUAAGGAACUCGGCAAAAUGACCCCGUAACUUCGGGAGAAGGGGUGCUCUUUAGGGUUAACGCCCAGAAGAGCCGCAGUGAAUAGGCCCAAGCGACUGUUUAUCAAAAACACAGGUCUCUGCUAAACCGUAAGGUGAUGUAUAGGGGCUGACGCCUGCCCG
rnacentral:rRNA from 1 species